rnacentral:rRNA from 1 species
UUAAAUUGAAGAGUUUGAUCAUGGCUCAGAUUGAACGCUGGCGGCAGGCCUAACACAUGCAAGUCGAGCGGAAACGAGUUAUCUGAACCUUCGGGGAACGAUAACGGCGUCGAGCGGCGGACGGGUGAGUAAUGCCUAGGAAAUUGCCCUGAUGUGGGG